rnacentral:rRNA from 1 species
ACGGGAGGCAGCAGUGGGGAAUAUUGGACAAUGGGGGAAACCCUGAUCCAGCGACGCCGCGUGAGUGAAGAAGUAUUUCGGUAUGUAAAGCUCUAUCAGCAAGGAAGAAAAUGACGGUACUUGACUAAGAAGCCCCGGCUAACUACGUGCCAGCAGCCGCGGUAAUACGUAGGGGGCAAGCGUUAUCCGGAUUUACUGGGUGUAAAGGGAGCGUAGACGGCAAAGCAAGUCUGAAGUGAAAUCCCGGGGCUCAACCCUGGAACUGCUUUGGAAACUGUUUAGCUAGAGUGCAGGAGAGGUAAGUGGAAUUCCUAGUGUAGCGGUGAAAUGCGUAGAUAUUAGGAGGAACAUCAGUGGCGAAGGCGGCUUACUGGGCUUUAACUGACGCUGAGGCUCGAAAGCGUGGGGAGCAAACAGGAUUAGAUACCCUGGUA